rnacentral:tRNA from 1 species
AUUUUAAUAGCUUAAAUUAGAGUAUAAUAUUGAAGAUAUUAGGGUAAGAAAUUUAUCUUUUAAAAUA